rnacentral:rRNA from 1 species
UACGGAGGGUGCGAGCGUUGUCCGGAAUCACUGGGCGUAAAGGGCGCGUAGGUGGCGCGAGAAGUCAACGGUGAAAGCCCGGGGCUCAGCCCCGGGUCGGCCGUCGAUACUCUUGGGCUCGAGCACUGUAGAGGCAGGUGGAACUCCUGGUGUAGCGGUGGAAUGCGCAGAUAUCAGGAAGAACACCGACGGCGAAGGCAGCUCGCUGGGACGGUACUGACGCUGAGGCGCGAAAGCGUGGGGAGCGAACAGG